CCAGGGUUGUAGAUGCUCUUCUUGAAGAAUUACUAAUGAUUGCCCAUUUUGCACCAUAACUUGCUAACUUUCCACUGCUUAAUUAACAUCAUUAGUUAGACAUUAGGAAAACUAAUUAAAACAGUAAGGAACCACUGAAAGGUGUGUAUAUACAAGCUUAAUCACCAAAAUAUCAAAGCUAAGAGAUGAAAACUUACACGUCGAAAUGGCACCAGGAUAAGGUUGUUUCCCAUCAUGAAGCACUCCAAACUGAUCAAGAAACCAUGCCUGAAGACAAUUUUGGAAACUCUUCGGGAAUUCCAAUAAUAUUUAAAUCAUACAAAACAAUUAUAACCACUUUACAUCCCGACCUUUUAUAAUGUAUGACACAACGGCAAAUCUCAGCGUUCAACUGAGUUUAGAUAAAUCCGAUAUUUUUGAAACGACGGUGGACAAACCCCGUAGUCAUAAUGUGUUUACAAUAGGACUUUCACAUGUUAAAGUAUUUUCCUUCCAUCUCCAUUUGAUUUUUUUUCUCCUCGCCGCAAGAAUAAAAUUCUCCGGCUUGGAUGGGUUACCUUGGGCGAAGUGCAGCAGUAGUCACUUU
rnacentral:lncRNA from 1 species